ACAAGAGACUGACUGGAACAAGAGACUGACUGGAACAGGUUUAUUGUAUUUUACAGACUAGAACAUGCUGAAAGUGUGUGUAAUCUACAAAGGCAACACAUAUCUGUCACACCACAUCUCCCCACCACCUCUGGUGGAAAAAGCGUGUGUAAGGAUCCAACACAGCAACGUCACAGCUGAAGAGUUCUGUUUCAAUUCAUGAAGGUUGGACUCUGAAGCCAGUAAAAUGGGAGUAUUCUGGAUGAAUAACAGGCCACAUCCAGGGUGAAGAUAAACCACGCGUUGGUUAGAAUGUAAACUAGUCCCUUCACUCACACAUGGAGGUCUGAAGAUUGGAUAUUGUUAAAAUAUUUCAUAUUAUUUUUGUUCAAACCUGGGGCAGCGUUCAGCAACGUUUGAUUCCACGACGAACAACAUCCAGAGGCUUCAGCCAAACCAUGGUUGGUUAGGUUACACAACACACUUCACCCCGAAGCACAUGAAGCAAUCUGACACAAUUGGACAGAUUGAAGUACCAAUCCAGCUGGGUCGCAAAGUGGACCUCCUUAGGGGUCAGUGUCUGGAGGGUAAAGGUUCGGGCCAACAGAGGUAUUUGAUCAAACCGGACAUCAGAAGCAUCAUUACAACACAGAGCAGCAGGAUUAACCAUCCACAUACAAAAGACGAUAUUUCAUUGGACAGCCCCAUCCCCAUUGACACAACAGCAGAGGGCGUCGUCAGAACAAUCAUCUCGUUACCUGGGAGACCAUAGAGGCUUCAACAGUCUCCUCUCUCUGCUGUCCUCUGGUCUUACGAUCUGGAAACAGGUGUCUGUCUGUCUGGAGGUCCAGGGUUCUAGGGGCCUCAGUGAAGGGGUUCCAGGGUUCUAGGGGCCUCAGUGAAGGGGGUCCAGGGUUCUAGGGGCCUCAGUGAAGGGGUUCCAGGGGCCUCAGUGAAGGACUUCAGUUUCA